rnacentral:rRNA from 1 species
GCUCCUACGGGAGGCAGCAGUAGGGAAUUUUCGUCAAUGGGCGCAAGCCUGAACGAGCGAUGCCGCGUGAGUGAAGAAGGCCUUCGGGUCGUAAACUUCUGUCCUUGGGGAAGAACAACUGACGGUACCCAAGGAGGAAGCCCCGGCUAACUACGUGCCAGCAGCCGCGGUAAUACGUAGGGGGCAAGCGUUAUCCGGAAUUAUUGGGCGUAAAGAGUACGUAGGUGGCAACCUAAGCGCAGGGUUUAAGGCAAUGGCUCAACCAUUGUUCGCCCUGCGAACUGGGAUGCUUGAGUGCAGUAGAG